rnacentral:rRNA from 1 species
AUGAACGCUAGCGAUAGGCUUAACACAUGCAAGUCGAGGGGCAGCAUGAACAAAGCUUGCUUUGUUUGAUGGCGACCGGCGCACGGGUGCGUAACACGUAUGCAACUUACCCAUAAAACGGGGAUAACCCGGAGAAAUUCGGACUAAUACCCGAUGGUAUUAAGAGAAGGCAUCUUCAUUUAAUUAAAGAUUUAUCGAUUAUGGAUAGGCAUGCGCAUGAUUAGCUAGUUGGUGAGGUAACGGCUCACCAAGGCGACGAUCAUUAGGGGUUCUGAGAGGAAGGUCCCCCACACUGGUACUGAGACACGGACCAGACUCCUACGGGAGGCAGCAGUGAGGAAUAUUGGUCAAUGGCCGCGAGGCUGAACCAGCCAAGUAGCGUGAAGGAUGAAGGUUCUAUGGAUUGUAAACUUCUUUUAUACGGGAAUAACAUCACCUACGUGUAGGUGCCUGCAUGUACCGUAUGAAUAAGCAUCGGCUAACUCCGUG